GAGAGUUUGAUCCUGGCUCAGGACGAACGCUGGCGGCGUGCUUAACACAUGCAAGUCGAGCGAUGAAAUCCCUUCGGGGAUGGAUUAGCGGCGGACGGGUGAGUAACACGUGGGCAACCUGCCUCAAAGUGGGGGAUAGCCUUCCGAAAGGGAGAUUAAUACCGCAUAACAUUAGUUUUUCACAUGAAUUACUAAUUAAAGGAGUAAUCCGCUUUGAGAUGGGCCCGCGGCGCAUUAGCUAGUUGGUGAGGUAACGGCUCACCAAGGCCACGAUGCGUAGCCGACCUGAGAGGGUGAUCGGCCACAUUGGAACUGAGACACGGUCCAGACUCCUACGGGAGGCAGCAGUGGGGAAUAUUGCACAAUGGGCGAAAGCCUGAUGCAGCAACGCCGCGUGAGUGAUGAAGGCCUUCGGGUUGUAAAGCUCUGUCUUUGGGGACGAUAAUGACGGUACCCAAGGAGGAAGCCACGGCUAACUACGUGCCAGCAGCCGCGGUAAUACGUAGGUGGCGAGCGUUGUCCGGAUUUACUGGGCGUAAAGGAUGCGUAGGCGGAUGUUUAAGUCAGAUGUGAAAAUCCCGAGCUUAACUUGGGAACUGCAUUUGAAACUGGAUAUCUAGAGUGCGGGAGAGGAGAAUGGAAUUCCUAGUGUAGCGGUGAAAUGCGUAGAGAUUAGGAAGAACACCAGUGGGCAAAGGCGAUUCUCUGGGACCGUAACCUGACG
rnacentral:rRNA from 1 species